rnacentral:misc_RNA from 13 species
CCAGGUCAUCGUACGAGAUGGGAAUAUGCUCUUUCUUGAUUCAGUUUGUAGUGAUGCCGUUCUUAGUUGGUGGAUCGAUUUGUCUGGUUAAUUCUGAUGACGAACGAGACUCAGCCUAUUAACUAGACGCGUUUGGUAUCGAAUCUACCGGCGAACAAUAUUCUUCUUAAGGGGACAGGCGGCUUUUAGCCGCACGAGAUUGAGCAAUAACAGGUCUGUGAUGCCCUUAGAUGUCCUGG